rnacentral:tRNA from 1 species
GCAACGAGAAUCACCUGGUCAGCGGCACUGGCGACCACGCGGCGACACGGGAUGACAUGGCGUGGAUCGGACUUAAAAUCCGCUGUCCGAAAGGGCAUGUGGGUUCGAAUCCCACCUCGGGCA